rnacentral:lncRNA from 1 species
AGAAAGAAAAAAAUUGAAAAAAAUUGAAAAAAAAGAGAAGAGGAUUUCGUGAAUUUUGAAGAUAUUUUGGUAUUAUUCAAUUGUAUUUGAAGUAAAAAAAAUCGAAGUAUAAAAAAAAAAGAAGUGAAAAGUCUUGUGAGUUUUAUUUUGUUAUAAUUUCUUGUUACUUCCGAGCAUCCAUUCCUUUUACCCUCCCCAAAAAAACGCCACACAUACUUUGAUUUUUUAUUUUUCCUUAUUUUAGCCUACCCUAUACACCCUAACGUUAUCCUUUGCACCCAUUUGAAGCCGACCCUCUAAGCCGCAAUAAGUCUUCUUGAAACAAAAUACGAAUUCACGAGAGUGAGACGAGUGGAAAAAGGCACGGGUGGUGAGUACAUUAGAGCGAGCAAAAGCCAUUAAACGAGCGUAAACACGAGUGGUGUGCUAUCCAAUUUUCUUUGCGAGUGAAACGUGAGAUUUUUGUGGUGAGGUAUUUAAUUUUUGUUUUGUUUUAAUCAUUUUUUUAGUAAUUAAAUCAUGUCUCAAGAAGAAUUCUCUACCGAUGAAUUUCAAUACUUGGUGAACGAGAUGGGCCGAAUUUUGGAGGAAGAACUAAGCCCAUUAAAAAGAC